UACGUAGGGGGCGAGCGUUGUCCGAAGUUAUUGGGCGUAAAGCGCGCGCAGGCGGUGGAUUAAGUUGUGGGUAAAAGGCAUUGGCUCAACCAAUGUAAGCCUGCAAAACUGGUUCACUUGAGUGCAGGAGAGGGGAGUGGAAUUCCCGGUGUAGCGGUGGAAUGCGUAGAUAUCGGGAGGAACACCAGUGGCGAAGGCGACUCUCUGGCCUGUAACUGACGCUGAGGCGCGAAAGCGUGGGUAGCGAACAGG
rnacentral:rRNA from 1 species